AGGUAAAUAUUUUAAUAAAAAUAGUUAGUUUGCGUCUAAAAAUUAUCUUUGGAUUUUACCUA
rnacentral:tRNA from 1 species